GCGUAACAAUCGCCCGAUUUUUUAACGAGAAGGACACACACUUUGGACAGUCAUAGUCGAUACCGAAUAUCGCUCUAGACGCUCGCCUUUUAUUAUCGGCGCGCGUUCG
rfam:Haemophilus influenzae Rd KW20, complete genome.